rnacentral:tRNA from 1 species
CAAGAAGUAGUUUAACAAGAAUUUCAGCUUUGGGUGCUGACGGUGAGGGUUAACCCUCUUUCUUGA